UGGGGAAUAUUGCACAAUGGGCGAAAGCCUGAUGCAGCAACGCCGCGUGAGCGAUGAAGGCCUUGGGUCGUAAAGCUCUGUCCUCAAGGAAGAUAAUGACGGUACUUGAGGAGGAAGCCCCGGCUAACUACGUGCC
rnacentral:rRNA from 1 species